CGUCUUGUUUUGUUUUUGUUUUUUUCUCACCUCGUCCAGUGUGGUCUGGCUGACUGAGAAGUGUUUGAUCUGCAGAGCAUUUUUGUUGGACUCCAGCUGGUCGAAGAUGUCAGCCACCCCUCCCAGAGCAACUGCAAAAGGAAUGGUAACUACCACCAAUGUGCAGCUGAGAUACUGAGGAUUCAGGUCAUUAUUUUCACUAAAAAGCCGACCACAGCAACUGGCUGAACAUUUCCCUCAGGAGUUGGUGAAGAUGAGGGAACACCUGACACACAAUCCUCAGGUCGACAGAAACACAUCUUGUUAUAAAGGCUAAUGUUCGGUUUGUAUCUGUUGGAUGUUUGUUUUGGCAACUUUAUAAGAUGAUAAUAUCAGCUUGUUCCCAGAGUGCCAAAAAAAGGUCAAUCGAAAGCUGCAACCAGCUCAAGUGAGGCUUCAUAAGUACAGCUGGGAUUUGAAUAUCACAAAUGAUUUCAGAAGGAAGAGAACCUCCCAUACAACUAACUUCAACAACUUUUCUGCAACAUUCCACUGCAAUGUUGGUUUAACCUUUCUUUUUUUUGUUU